UCGGCUGCACGACAGUCGGGCUCGACCUGAACUGUGCGACUACUCUUCAGGAACGUCAAACUCAGGAGGUCACGCCUGGACAAAUCACUCAGGUCACGUUUCACUAUUUUGGAAAUCUGAUGGAAAGCCACUGCAGGUUGGAUGUACCUGUUGUGAGGCCUGUUUCAGGUAUCGCCACAGCGCGUCAUCUCUUUCCACGUAAGCCUAUCUCCUGCAUCCUCAUGGCACCAACUGCCCUCAUGUCUUCUCUCACGACAUCCAUCGACCUUCUCUUUGGUCUUCCUCUAGCUCUCUUGCCUGGCAGCUCCAUCCUCAUCAUCCUUCUACCAAUAUACUCACUAUUUCUCCUCUGGACGUGCCCAAACCAUCGAAGUCUGCUCUCUCGAACUUUGUCUCCAAAACAUCGAACCUUGGCUGUCCCUCUGAUGAGCUCAUUUCUAAUUUUAUCCAACCUGGUCACUCCGAGAGCGAACCUCAACAUCUUCAUUUCCGCCACCCCCAACUCUGUUUCCUGUUGUCUCUUCAGUGCCACUGCCUCUAAUCCGUACAUCAUGGCUGGCCUCACCACUGUUUUAUAAACUUUGCCCUUCAUCCGAGCAGUCUCUUCUGUCACAUAACACACCUGACACCUUUCUCUACUCGUUCCAACCUGCUUUGACCCGUUUCUUCAGUUCCUGACCACACUCACCAUUGCUCUGGACGGUUGACCCCAAGUAUUUCAAGUCCUCCACCCUGGCUAUCUAUUCUUCCUGUCAUCAGGACCAACUGCCUUUCCAUUUUUCAUCCUCUUUAAUGCCUUCCUAACUUUCCCCUUACAAAUCAUUGCCACUUCCUGGUCCACCACACUUGCCUCUUCUACUUUCCCCACUCUCUCAUUUCCCUCAUUCAUCAACUCCUCGACGUAUUCUUUCCAUCUAUCUAGCACACUACUGGCACCAGUCAACAUAUUUCCAUCUCUAUCCUUAAUCACCCUAACCUGCUGCACAUCCUUCCCAUCUCUAACCCUCUGUCUGGCCAGCCUGUAUAGAUCCUUUUCUCCUUCUUUAGUGUCCAACCUGCCAUACAUGUCAUCAUAUGCCUCUUCUUUGACCUUUGCCACCCCUACCUUUGCCCUAUGUCCCAUCUCAAUGUAUUCCUUUCUCCUCUCCUCGGUCCUCUCAGUGUCCCACUUCUUCUUAGCCAACCAUUUUCCUUGUAUGAUUUCCUGUACUGUGAGGUUCCACCACCAAGUCUCUUUCUCUCCUUUCCUGCCAGAGCGCCAUCCUUCCACGCCAGUUUCACAAGAACUCCGGCGGCUGCCGGUUCAGUUUGGAAUCCUCUUGAAAGUCCUCCAGGCCGACCGUAAACUCGCCCGUCGGCCAUUUUAUAAAGAUCGCCAUCGCUUCUCACCACUUCACCGUCCCGCCGCAGACGCUUCAUUGGCUCGGCUCCCCUCCUCUGACCUUCUGACCUUCUGACCUUCUGACCUUCUGACCUGCUGACCUGCGCGACAGGCCCUCCAUUUCUCUCUCCAAAGCCAAAUUCAAAACACAUCUGUGACAAUGUUGUGUCAUACUCCCCCUCGUCUUGUUUUCACAGUGAUGAUUUUUUUUUGGGUGUUCUUAAUUUUUAUACCUUCAUUUGACAGUUUUAUUGUACGGUUCGCCAUAAUAAAAUGCAUUACUAUUAUUUUUACUACCCCCCA